rnacentral:rRNA from 1 species
UACGGGAGGCAGCAGUGGGGAAUAUUGGGCAAUGGGCGCAAGCCUGACCCAGCAACGCCGCGUGAAGGAAGAAGGCUUUCGGGUUGUAAACUUCUUUUGGCAGGGACGAAGAACGUGACGGUACCUGAUGAAUAANCCACGGNUAACUACGUGCCAGCAGCCGCGGUAAU